CAGGAUUAUGGCACCGAUACAGGAUGGAGGCACAAAGAAUUCAGGAAAGAACUGUCCCCUCAUUAUCCUGGAGCAAAGCAGGUGGAAGUGUCCAACCUCAGUGAUGUUGCAAACAUACAGAAGUCAUUUUAAGGCACCACAAGUUCUGCUUUCCUGCUUGUCAAGGAAAACCUGAGCUGUGGACCAAGAUAAAACAUUCUUGUAUACAGGCAAGAAUCCUUACUUUGGCGUUCCAGAAAUCUCCAAAUUUUGGGAGAAUAUGAAUCAACAGAAAAAUUAUUAUUGGAAAGCUCCAGAUGGCUUAUUUUGGAUAUGUGGAAAAAGAGCAUACACAAAACUCCCCUCUUGGUGGAAAAGGAGCUGUACUCUGGGAAUCAUACAGCCAGGAUUUUUUCUUUUACCAGGACCUGGUGGAGAUCAAUUAGGAAUACCAGUUUAUGAGAACCUAAAGAGAAAUA